UAACACGUGGAUAACCUACCUAUAAGACUGGGAUAACUUCGGGAAACCGGAGCUAAUACCGGAUGAUAUUUUGAACCGCAUGGUUCAAAAGUGAAAGACGGUCUUGCUGUCACUUAUAGAUGGAUCCGCGCUGCAUUAGCUAGUUGGUAAGGUAACGGCUUACCAAGGCAACGAUGCAUAGCCGACCUGAGAGGGUGAUCGGCCACACUGGGACUGAGACACGGCCCAG
rnacentral:rRNA from 1 species